GACGAACGCUGGCGGCGUGCUUAACACAUGCAAGUCGAACGGAAAGGCCCUGCUUUUGUGGGGUGCUCGAGUGGCGAACGGGUGAGUAACACGUGAGUAACCUGCCCUUGACUUUGGGAUAACUUCAGGAAACUGGGGCUAAUACCGGAUAGGAGCUCCUGCUGCAUGGUGGGGGUUGGAAAGUUUCGGCGGUUGGGGAUGGACUCGCGGCUUAUCAGCUUGUUGGUGGGGUAGUGGCUUACCAAGGCUUUGACGGGUAGCCGGCCUGAGAGGGUGACCGGCCACAUUGGGACUGAGAUACGGCCCAGACUCCUACGGGAGGCAGCGGUGGGGAAUAUUGCACAAUGGGCGGAAGCCUGAUGCAGCAACGCCGCGUGCGGGAUGACGGCCUUCGGGUUGUAAACCGCUUUCGCCUGUGACGAAGCGUGAGUGACGGUAAUGGGUAAAGAAGCACCGGCUAACUACGUGCCAGCAGCCGCGGUAAGAC
rnacentral:rRNA from 1 species